rnacentral:lncRNA from 10 species
GUCACCUUUGCAUGCGAAGGCUGUAUACUGCUAACACCUGUGACAUCUCCUGUCUGAUGGUGUCCUGCUGGCUGUUGGAGGCCAUUUGGUCCUGUGCAAGCCAGGCCAGAGGGCAGGAGAGCUAAUGCAGCUUUCCACCUUUACAGAUGGGGAGUGGGUGGAUCAAUACUUCAGCUCCCUGACCCAUCUGUUGGGAUAACUCCAAGCAGGUUCUGUACCUCCCAGAGGUUCCCAGUGGGACCGAGCCCCAGUUUCCCGCACAUUCACCUGCUCAUUAACACCCCUUGUGUUGGCUCUUUCCCUCCCUUGUCUCACUUUCCUCUCCCCUCCCAGUGAUUCCUGG